UUCAGCUCAGUGGUCGAGCGCUGGCUUUGAAAGCCACAGGUCGGUGGUUCAAAUCCACCCUCUCAUA
rnacentral:tRNA from 1 species